ACUAAAAGAUCGUAACAGCAGUGCGCAAUAGGUGUCAGGUACUUUUUGGAAUCGAUGUUUUACUCAGUGCCAAAGCUUUAAAGUCAUCUACUAGCAUAAAGUGAUGACCAAAACAAGACUGCAUCAUUACCCAGUCCACUGCACCAGGAAGAUUAAUAUCAGUUGCUAAAAAAACAAUAUCUUCUCCUGUAAUAAGAGCAAUAUGCGGCAUUACUUGCUCAAGAGAUCCUUGCCACUUACAAGAAGCACCUGGGCAAGGACAACUGUAUGGACGGAAUUCACAUGCAUCUUCAUGAUCUGCCUUUUCGGUAGGACAGCAGUUAAGCUUUGGUCGGCAAUUGCUACAAACAAGGUGUCCACUCUGACAUUGUAAAAUUGGUGGAAGAACAUAAUCAAAGCAA